GAUGAACGCUGGCGGCGUGCCUAAUACAUGCAAGUCGAGCGAACGGACGAGAAGCUUGCUUCUCUGAUGUUAGCGGCGGACGGGUGAGUAACACGUGGAUAACCUACCUAUAAGACUGGGAUAACUUCGGGAAACCGGAGCUAAUACCGGAUAAUAUUUUGAACCGCAUGGUUCAAAAGUGAAAGACGGUCUUGCUGUCACUUAUAGAUGGAUCCGCGCUGCAUUAGCUAGUUGGUAAGGUAACGGCUUACCAAGGCAACGAUGCAUAGCCGACCUGAGAGGGUGAUCGGCCACACUGGAACUGAGACACGGUCCAGACUCCUACGGGAGGCAGCAGUAGGGAAUCUUCCGCGAUGGGCGAAAGCCUGACGGAGCAACGCCGCGUGAGUGAUGAAGGUCUUCGGAUCGUAAAACUCUGUUAUUAGUGAAGAACAUAUGUGUAAGUAACUGUGCACAUCUUGACGGUACCUAAUCAGAAAGCCACGGCUAACUACGUG
rnacentral:rRNA from 1 species